GGUUGAAUAUUUUUUCUGAGACCAUAUUUUCCAGCUGGAUAUGCUUCCUGACACCAACUCUUUUGGUCAUUGUAUACAACAUGCAGGGAAAUAGUAGGACUAUUCUAAAACCAGGAUACACAGGCUGUGUCAUAAGAAGCUUGCUUCUCAACCACAUGAUUCUGGGUUCAGUCCCACUACAUGACACCUUGGUUGUUGCUUAAAUCCCAACAAUGGACAACCACAUCAUCAUCAUAAAACAACCUUUAUGGAGAGAAAAAUAUUGAAAAACAUCAAUACCUGUCAGAGUGACAAAGAAAUAAAGAAGAUACAAGGUGGUCAUGAGAUGUGUUAGAAACACCAGCUAAAUUGCCCUUGAAUCACACACCUUUUUCUCUGAAAAUUAUUCUGAAAUUAUGAACAGAAACAAAAUGUAGAUCUGGACUGUCUGUAUUUUAAACUUAUGAUUAAAAAAAUUUUGCAAAAGGCUGAAA